rnacentral:rRNA from 1 species
UACGUAGGUGGCGAGCGUUGUCCGGAUUUACUGGGCGUAAAGGGCGUGCAGGCGGUUUGUUAAGUGCAGGGUGAAAGCUCCCGGCUCAACUGGGAGAGGUCCUUGAAUACUGGCGAACUCGAGGGAGGCAGAGGAAAGUGGAAUUCCCGGUGUAGUGGUGAUAUGCGUAGAUAUCGGGAGGAACACCUGUGGCGAAGGCGGCUUUCUGGGCCUUACCUGACGCUGAGACGCGAAAGCGUGGGGAGCAAACAGG